rnacentral:lncRNA from 1 species
UGUCAUACACGUUAAGUAGAAUUAUGGAAAUUCAACAUACCCUAAAAUUUAAAGAUAAAGACAAUGAGAUUGUUAUACAACAUACCUGUGGAAUGGCAGGGUGAAGUUGAGGGGAAAUUUCCUACGCUAAGUACCGGUUGGUGAGGAUAAAAAUGAGCUAGCCCCUUAGAACUUCAAGAAAGCUCAUAGGAAAGUAGAUAACUGAUAUCAUACUUAAGUUUUGGAGGACAGUGUUGAAUACUAUGAAUGAUGCAAGAGUGUGUGUGCAUUGCAAGUUACAGAAAAUUGCUCCUGAAGUACAAAAGCACUUACAAACGCAAUUUCCAUUCACGAUUGAAUAAAUAUAAAUUACAAGUAAUUCAUAAAAGAAAGAAAACUUUACUGAUUGAUUUACAUGGACUUUUUUGACAGAGACUAUUGCAUUUUAAUUUCAAUAAGAUGAACAAUACAAUAAAAAAUGGAAGUAAAAAAUGGAAGUAAACAAUUGAGCACAAACUUAACUAGUGGAUAUCCGGCAACUACAUUGACUUGUCUCUUUACAAAAAGGACAAUUAAGAUGACAAGGAUGUUAAAAACAGAAACACAACUUCCAUACUGUUUGUUAAUUUUGGGAUCAGAUCCCUUGAUCAUUGACUUCAUUCCUAAGAAAAAUAAAAAAUAGAGAACAUUAAGAUGAAUGCUCAAAGCUAAUUUCAACACCAUUCCCACCAA